UGCUCUCCCUCUGUGAGUUGUGCAGUUUCGGCAAAGUGUAGCUGUGUUAGUUGGAUGUGAAUGCUUAGGAUGAGGGUCAGUGAGGGGCAUGAGAAUGGUUUUGGCACCCCGCUACGGUCUGACAGAGAGAGUGCAUUGUUCUCUGACCCAAAUUUCUUGACCUGGAACUGCACAGAAAAAAAAAAAAACAGAUGAUAAUGAAUGGGUCGCAGCAACAUGUUUUCACUCUCCGCUGCCUCACACUCACUGACCAGACCAUGACAUCAUCCAACUGUCAAACAGCAUUUUCUGACAAUUAGCCCCCUCUGAAAAGAGCGGAAUAGACAAGACCUUAAGGUGCAGCUAACUAAGAAACAUGUCAUAAAACAUGGAAAAUCCAUAAAACACCAGAAAAUGUUUCACUGUUAUUUAUCACUAAAAAAUUAUUGGUUGAUCGAACCAUCAAGAUAGAUCAGAGUUUUGUUAUUGUGGAACAGCUACAAUAAAGGCUAUUUUCUGCUGAGUGUUAAUCAUUUUUAAGAAUCCCAUUAUCUAUCAUCACUGAAGAUGCCAAUGUUUUUUCAUACACCCAAAGUCUAAACUAGAACACAUAACUGCGCUACCAAAGUAAAAGUUCGUUUACAUUCAACCGCUUACAAGCUAGAAAUACCUUUACUUGGAAUUUAUGCCCUCCCUUAUCUAUUAGACUCUAUUAAACUGAAAUACAGAGUCUCGACUGAUUCCUAGCUAACAGCAAUUUCAGCUAGUUCUGAACAGUAGUUGAACGCCAAUGAAGAGGUUUUUUUUUCUAGCGUUGGUAACACAGUAGGCCUACUUUGCUUCAAUUAAUCAAAUAACUAAAGGACUCUGAGAUGUGUGAAAGCACCUACAAGACAAAGAACUCUGAAAUACACAGGAGAGUGAUCACCUGUUAACUCUAGCCAAAUCAACAUAUUAAAUGACCAAUUUGUCUAGGUCUGAGUAAAUUAUGUUGGAAAGGAAUUGAUGCUUUCCCUAUUUCUAUAUUCAGGCUUUCAGCUGAUUCCUUGCUAAUGGUAGACCUAAGUGAAGAGUUAAUGCUAAGAUUGGCUUAUAACCCCAAAUCAAAAGGGCCAUUUAAUUUUCCCCAUUUGCUUUACUAUUAUUUACUUGACAGUGAUGUGUUUAGUAUAUUGCAGUGUUUAAUGAAACAGACAAGAUGAAAAUAGAAUAUUGUAUUUGUAAGUAUGUUUAUUUAGUGUUGCCUCAACAUAAAAACUGUUUGAUUCUGUUAACUAUAUAAGUAUGUUUAUCGAUGUAGGAGUGGGUCUUGUCAUGUUCCUACUCUAACACAGAAUGGACAAACUAGUAACAUUUACAUUUUUGUGUGAAGUGACCACAUGAAAUGUACCUGUUGUAAGAUAAAGUAAAAACAUGCGUUACAGUGCAUGUAUCACACAGUUUUUUUUUUCUUUGAAGCCCAUUGUUAGUUUAGGGAUCGGAGGGGAGUAUUUUCAAGGUGAGAGGUGAUUGAAUAAAAACACUAAUUUCUUGAAAACCCUAAAUUUGAAGCUGAUUUUAAGGCC